UACGAAGGGGGCUAGCGUUGCUCGGAAUCACUGGGCGUAAAGGGUUCGUAGGCGGUGUGGCAAGUCGGGAGUGAAAUUUCUGGGCUCAACUCAGAGACUGCUUCCGAAACUGCUGUGCUUGAGUGUGGGAGAGGCGCGUGGAAUUGCAGGUGUAGCGGUGAAAUGCGUAGAUAUCUGCAGGAACACCCGUGGCGAAAGCGGCGCGCUGGACCACUACUGACGCUGAGGAGCGAAAGCGUGGGGAGCAAACAGG
rnacentral:rRNA from 1 species